UCGCCACAAGUUACAUCUAUUUAUUUUUAAACUUUUUUUAGGGCGAAUCUUCUUCUUCUUCUCAUUGGCAUUUUGGACAACAGAGAUUUACGACGGAGUAGUGGCGGAGUAGCGGAGGAGAGGGCAACAUGUGAAGAAAGAGAUUCACUUUUUAUGAGCCAAACAUGUAAAAAUAUUUUAAAUGAGAAAAUUAUUUUAGAGACAAAAUUUGAAAUUCAAA
rnacentral:lncRNA from 1 species